UAUUCGUUUCGGCUCUGCGGCUAUCGUAAGAAUCCAUUGGUUGAAUGUGAAAUAUUGUUUGUGCGUUGGACGACAUUGUUUGUAUUUAUUUUGGGUAUUGAUUAGUUUGAACUUGAAGAACUUGAGAAUAGAUAAAAUAGGAGUAACAGGCAGACGAAGGUCUAUUAAAACCGUGAACUGAUGGUUACCCCGCCUGCGCUAUCGAUAUACACCGACGAGACACCAGCGGAAGAUGAUAGGUUAGGAUGAAUGCAGGUCAGUUAGCCCAUCGUGACGAAUUUCACAAGAAUUAACCACGAUGGCUUCCAGGUGGAACCACGCGGAGGUCGACCUGGAGGAGUAUAUUCCCCCCACAAUAUCAGGAUCAGGAUACAACAGUUCCUUAAUAAUACACUUGGCAUCACAUUCGGAACAUGUGCCACGCCAGUGUUACACGGAAACGCAGCAGUAUUUCCACCGAUACGACAACAUAACCUUCAAGAAAAGAGUAUAUUCCUUUUUAAAAGGCCGGCAGCACACCUGCAAUGCCGCUGGUGUUGUGGGUGAUCAUGGGCGGCGGUAGUCACUUACCAUCAGGUGAGACGCAUGCUGGUUUGCCCCCUGUGUUGUAAAAAAAAAAUAUCCGGGACCGAAAAAAAAACAAAAUAAAAUGUCUAUAGAUUAUUGGAAAUGUUGAACACUUUAUUGC